rnacentral:rRNA from 1 species
AUUGAACGCUGGCGGCAUGCCUUACACAUGCAAGUCGAACGGUAACGGGCCUUCGGGUGCCGACGAGUGGCGAACGGGUGAGUAAUACAUCGGAACGUGCCCGAUCGUGGGGGAUAACGAGGCGAAAGCUUUGCUAAUACCGCAUACGAUCUACGGAUGAAAGCAGGGGACCGCAAGGCCUUGCGCGGACGGAGCGGCCGAUGGCAGAUUAGGUAGUUGGUGGGAUAAAAGCUUACCAAGCCGACGAUCUGUAGCUGGUCUGAGAGGAUGAUCAGCCACACCGGGACUGGGAACCGGCCCCGACUCCUACGGGAGGCAGCAGUGGGGAAUUUUGGACAAUGGGCGCAAGCCUGAUCCAGCCAUGCCGCGUGCAGGAUGAAGGCCUUCGGGUUGUAAACUGCUUUUGUACGGAACGAAAAGCCUUCUUUUAAUACAGGAGGGUCAUGACGGUACCGUAAGAAUAAGCACCGGCUAACUACGUG